AUGGUCGUAAGACUAUAGCCUGUCCUCUAAGGACGAAGAAUAAAAAAGAAAAAAUGACAUUGACGUUUUGUUUCUGACGGAAAUCUGUUAUGAUUUUUUAGACGUUAAAAAAUUAAGAGUUUCCUGACUUAACUUUUCUUUUUUAUUAUAAUUAUUCUCUAAGACGUGCGUAUUACAAUCCCAGAAACAAUGACAGAGAAAAACGCACAAGUUGGACAAGCACGGGAAGCCUUCCAACUAAUGCAUCAGAUAUCUCAACUCCUAAGCACGGGGCUCGAUGCGGAAACUCUUUCGACAUGUAUCAGGCUGUGCGAGUUGGGCGUAGACCCUGAAGUAUUGGCGCACGUCAUCAAGGAAAUAAGGAAGAUGGGCGAAAAUGCAACACAAAACAAAAUUGGUAAUGUACAUUCGUGACGGUAGAAAAAUGACCCGUUAAAGAAUUGUGUGAAUUGCCUUUAUUUUAAUUACCCUAUUUCAAACAAGUUUGUUACAUUACCAUUGACAAUUUCUGGCAAAUGUUAUUUUCUAUUCUGAUAUAUGUAGUUAUUGUUGCUGUUGUAUAGCAAAAUGUGAUGUGAUAGUUAAUUGGAUGUAAAAUGUACAAUAUCUGGAUUCUAUUUUAAUCAUAAAAGCUUCAUACCAUCAGAUAUAGGGUUAACUGGACUGUAUCUGCCUAUUCUAAAGGGUAAUGUGCACUUAAAUUAAACAUGACAUUUUUUAUUGUAAUUUGAUAAGUAUUUCUCAGUUCUAUAUGUAUUGAACUAGCUUAUAUUAAUAUUUGAAUCCAUUACAUUUAAUUUUCUUGUGCUAUAUACUUCUCAUUAGAUUAAAAUGACAAUUGUAAAUUCCCUAAUGACUACAAUAAGUCUGACUUGCCCCAAUUUACUCAAAUAUUAUUAACUGAAAUGUAAAUAAUUGUAAUUUAAUAUUGUAUUGUAAUAAUGAAUAAAACAACUAAUUUUAAUUAUAAAACUGUUUUAAUAACUAACACUAUAAAACAUAGGACUUUCCAUUUCACAGAAUGCUACAUGUCAAAAUAAAUGGCAUUUAUUUUUUUAAGCAUUAUGUAAAACUAAUUGGAUUAGGGAACAAAUAUUGAUCACAACCAGUAUAAACAAUAAUGCCUUGUCUCUCACAACUAUAUGGAAAAAAAUAAAUAAGUUGUGAACGACAAACAUGUGGCAGUCUAUGAAAUGGUUACAGAUUCUUUCUAGAUUAAAAAAUAUAUUCCUGCAGGCUAGUUACUCUAAGCAUUUAAUAAAAUGCUUGCUAGGUGAAUAAAAAUUAACACAACAGUUUUAAUAUUUGGAUUAAGUUAUUUAAGGUUUUACUUUAUACAAUUCAACAAAUUAAUCUAUGUGGGAUAUUUUAAUAAACUACUUAACAUUGGGAUAUAGUGUAUUUUGCCACUCGCAAACCUGUCCAUCAAUAUAUUGUUAAUAAAACCACAAGUUUUCUAAUCUAAAAAGAAUCUUACAUAAAUAACAUGUCAUUGAGCUUUGGAUGAAUUAAACCAUGUGCAUUGUCGGAGACCUGCGACAAGUGAAAUUUAUGCAAACAGCACAGUGCUGCUAAUAUCACAGAUGCAAAAUAAAUCACUUGUGUCAUCAAAGAUCUGAAUUCAAUUGAAUAUUUACUGUAAUAAACAAAAUUAUAAAAGUCAAA
rnacentral:lncRNA from 1 species